GUCUGUCGCCAAGCGGUAAGGCAACGGGUUUUGAUCCCGUCAUACCUAGGUUCGAAUCCUAGCAGA
rnacentral:tRNA from 1 species